GACGAACGCUGGCGGCGUGCUUAACACAUGCAAGUCGAACGGAAAGGCCCUGCUUUUGUGGGGUGCUCGAGUGGCGAACGGGUGAGUAACACGUGAGUAACCUGCCCUUGACUUUCGGAUAACUUCAGGAAACUGGGGCUAAUACCGGAUAGGAGCUCCUGCUGCAUGGUGGGGGUUGGAAAGUUUCGGCGGUUGGGGAUGGACUCGCGGCUUAUCAGCUUGUUGGUGGGGUAGUGGCUUACCAAGGCUUUGACGGGUAGCCGGCCUGAGAGGGUGACCGGCCACAUUGGGACUGAGAUACGGCCCAGACUCCUACGGGAGGCAGCAGUGGGGAAUAUUGCACAAUGGGCGGAAGCCUGAUGCAGCAACGCCGCGUGCGGGAUGACGGCCUUCGGGUUGUAAACCGCUUUCGCCUGUGACGAAGCGUGAGUGACGGUAAUGGGUAAAGAAGCACCGGCUAACUACGUG
rnacentral:rRNA from 1 species